AGAUUGACGCUGAGGCACGAAAGUGUGGGGAUCAAACAGGAUUGGAUACCCUGGUAGUCCACACUGUAAACGAUGAUAACUCGCUGUCGGCGAUAUACAGUCGGUGGCCAAGCGAAAGCGAUAAGUUAUCCACCUGGGGAGUACGACCGCAAGGUUGAAACUCAAAGGAAUUGACGGGGGCCCGCACAAGCGGAGGAACAUGUGGUUUAAUUCGAUGAUACGCGAGGAACCUUACCCGGGCUCGAACGGUGCAGGAAUAUGGUAGAGAUAUCAUAGCUAGCAAUAGUCUGUAUCGAGGUGCUGCAUGGUUGUCGUCAGCUCGUGCCGUGAGGUGUCGGCUUAAGUGCCAUAACGAGCGCAACCCUUGUCAUUAGUUACCAUCAGGUCAAGCUGGGGACUCUAAUGAGACUGCCACCGUAAGGUGAGAGGAAGGGGGGGAUGACGUCAAAUCAGCACGGCCCUUAUGUCCGGGGCGACACACGUGUUACAAUGGGGGGUACAGAGGGCAGCCAUCCGGCGACGGAGCGCCAAUCUCAAAAACCCUUCUCAGUUCGGAUUGGAGUCUGCAACCCGACUCCAUGAAGUUGGAUUCGCUAGUAAUCGCGCAUCAGCCA
rnacentral:rRNA from 1 species